CAAGGCUUGACAUCCUGCGAAUCUUGAGGAAACUCAGGAGUGCCUUUCGGGGAGCGUAGAGACAGGUGGUGCAUGGUUGUCGUCAGCUCGUGUCGUGAGAUGUUGGGUUAAGUCCCGCAACGAGCGCAACCCCUGUGUUUAGUUGCUAACGAGUCAUGUCGAGCACUCUAGACAGACCGCCGGUGAUAAACCGGAGGAAGGUGGGGAUGACGUCAAAUCAUCAUGCCCCUUAUGUCUUGGGCUACACACGUGCUACAAUGGCCAGUACAGACGGACGCGAAGCCGCGAGGUGGAGCAAAUCCGAGAAAGCUGGUCUCAGUUCGGAUUGCAGGCUGCAACUCGCCUGCAUGAAGUCGGAAUCGAUAGUAAUCGCAGGUCAGCAUACUGCGGUGAAUACGUUCCC
rnacentral:rRNA from 1 species